rnacentral:misc_RNA from 1 species
AGAAAAGUAACAUGUAAAGCUUCAAUGUUCGUGAAGCCUCAAUUAUUUAACAUGCCAAAUUAAAACCGGCUACGUACUAUCACUCCUCACCCAACAAGAAAUACCCUCUCAGGCUCUCCUUGCUUGUGUCUUCUUCGCAUUCUUCUUCUUCUUCUUUACCAUAGUUGUCGUCAUCUUCGAAAUUCAGGGUUUUCGGAACGGUGACAACCAACUGCCCGCCUAUACAUCUCGCGCUAGUCAUCUUCGGAAAAGUCGUCGUCGGAAGCCUGAAACGCCACAUGUCAAUGUCGAGAUCCUCCACCGAAGCGCGAUCGACACUCUGCGCUCCUCUUAUUGCGAUCUUUGUCACUCCAGGUAAUAUCUCGAUCACAUGAGCCUGAAAAUCGUCAGUUAUGGUUAUGUCCCCACCGUUGGCAACGAAACGGAAACAUUCUUUAGUUUCUUGGACAAAAACUUCGGCGUCAGAGUUGAAGGGAAGCUCCAGGACUCUGGCAAAUACGUGAGGGAGUCUCUUAAGUUUCUUAGGGAUUGGGUUGCCGGCGGUGGUGGAAAAAGCCACACCAUUUUGGGAGGCGGUGAGAUCCCUUUUCUUUGGAGAUGGGUGAACCUUCAUUGUCGAAAAGGCUAGGAAAGCCUUGAUAACAGAGAAAGAAGAUAAAGAUCGAAAUGGGACCAAAAGUUUAUGAGAAGUGGAAAGGGAGAGUGAUUCUUGGCUUGGAAUAAAGGAAAAAUCUACGCUCAUUAGCGAAAGAAAUACACAGGUAUUAUUACGGUGUAAAAAUUGUCAUUGAAUCAAU